ACGAACGCUGGCGGCGUGCUUCACACAUGCCAGUCGCACGGAAAGGCCCUGCUUUUGUGGGGUGCUCGAGUGGCGAACGGGUGAGUAACACGUGAGUAACCUGCCCUUGACUUUGGGAUAACUUCAGGAAAUUGGGGCUAAUACCGGAUAGGAGCUCCUGCUGCAUGGUGGGGGUUGGAAAGUUUCGGCGGUUGGGGAUGGACUCGCGGCUUAUCAGCUUGUUGGUGGGGUAGUGGCUUACCAAGGCUUUGACGGGUAGCCGGCCUGAGAGGGUGACCGGCCACAUUGGGACUGAGAUACGGCCCAGACUCCUACGGGAGGCAGCAGUGGGGAAUAUUGCACAAUGGGCGGAAGCCUGAUGCAGCAACGCCGCGUGCGGGAUGACGGCCUUCGGGUUGUAAACCGCUUUCGCCUGUGACGAAGCGUGAGUGACGGUAAUGGGUAAAGAAGCACCGGCUAACUACGUG
rnacentral:rRNA from 1 species